rnacentral:rRNA from 1 species
AUUGACCGCUGGCGGCAGGCCUAACACAUGCAAGUCGAGCGGAGCGGCGGACGGGUGAGUAAUGCCUAGGAAUCUGCCUGGUAGUGGGGGAUCACGUCCGGAAACGGGCGCUACUACCGCAUACUAUCAGAUGAGCCUAGGUGGGAUUAGCUAGUUGGUGUGGUAACGGCCUACCAAGGCGACGAACCGUACCUGGUCUGAGAGGAUGAUCAGUCACACUGUAACAGUGACACGGUCCAGACUCCUACGGGAGGCAGCAGUGGGGAAUAGUGGACAAUGGGCGAAAGCCUGAUCCAGCCAUGCCGCGUGUGUGAAGAAUGUCUUCGGAUUGUAAAGCACUUUAAGUUGUGAGGCGUUACCAACAGAAUAGGCACCGGCUAACUUCGUGCCAGCAGCCGCGGUAAUAC